rnacentral:rRNA from 1 species
CUACGGGGGGCUGCAGUGGGGGAUAUUGCACAAUGGGCGAAAGCCUGAUGCAGCAACGCCGUGUGAAGGAUGACGGAUUUCGGUCUGUAAACUUCUAUCAGCAGGGAAGAAAAUGACGGUACCUGACUAAGAAGCCCCGGCUAACUACGUGCCAGCAGCCGCGGUAAUACGUAGGGGGCAAGCGUUAUCCGGAAUUACUGGGUGUAAAGGGUACGUAGGCGGCUGAUCAAGUCAGAUGUGAAAGCCCGGAGCUCAACUCCGGGAUUGCAUUUGAAACUGGUCGGCUAGAGUGCAGGAGAGGAAAGUGGAAUUCCUAGUGUAGCGGUGAAAUGCGUAGAUAUUAGGAAGAACACCAGUGGCGAAGGCGGCUUUCUGGACUGUAACUGACGCUGAGGUACGAAAGCGUGGGGAGCGAACAGGAUUAGAUACCCGCGUAGUC